GGGAACCUCAGCUCAGAGACCCGGUGACCUCUACGAGGUGGAGAAGGCAGGGAGAUGAUUCCUGCAGACAGCUGUCACAGGGAACCCAGGCUGCCGACACUGUGGCCAUGGCCCAGCGAGACCCACAGGGCAACCCGCACGGCGAGGACCCUCGUCGCCACUUCUGGAGGGGACCCGUAGACUUGGGGAGCCGAGGCCGCGACUAGGUUCUCCCGGUUUGCCUUCGAGGAAGCCGGACUUCGCGCAGUUCCUCGAGGUCUGGGACUCUCAGGGCCGUGCCUGCAGCCGCUUCUCGUCUCCUCACGGCUGAAGACUAAGCUGCUGGUGCUGGGGCCUCCCAUCCGGUGCCAUCGCAGCCAGGAGACUGCCAGAGCAUCACCCCCAGACCGUCUGCACUUCAGAGAUGACUUUGAAUGGACCCCCAGUGUAUCCCGUGCCCUGGAACAGCUCCUCCUGGUGCACCUCGGAUGCAAAGGUCCCGCAGGCUCCUGCCCUCCACGCCUGUCCUGCCUCUGAGACUCCCACAGGCACUGCACUGCAGGCCCCUGGACAGUCCCCUCUUCACUGCUGGCUCCACUUCGCCUGCCCAGAGACUUCCUGCCCAGGAUGACUGUGUGGAAAGAGGCCCUCGGCUGAGGUCCCAUGCAUGGCUCACCCUCCUCGCCAGCUCAGGACCAGGCCUGCUCAGGAAGGAGAGGGUCAGCAUCUCCCCCGACGAGUUUUAAUCGGCCUCCCAGUUUAAGACAAGAAGAGAUCAGGUUCCUGUGGAAGAAGAUCACUGUCAGCUCCAGGUCACAGAAGAGAAAGUGCCAUCAAGGCGUCAAAUGCACAUGCCAGCCGCGGAGCCCCAAAGACACCUGGCGCCGAGCGCAGGUACCCAGAAGGAAGAGGGAAACUGAGGCAGCAGCAGAGAGCAGCUGGCAGUCCGCACGCAGAGGAGGGGCACCGCCUGAGCCCACAGAGCCACACAGGUGCACACACACCGGGUCAGAGAGGAGCUGCCUGGACAGACGGAACAGCAGCCCUCUCCGACGGGGACGCCGGGCUCGGCCAAAGGGAGAGACCGGUGGAGACAGGUCAGGAGGGUUCAAGGAGCCCACCAGCCCCGCCUGCCCGGCUCUCAGAGCACAGCAGCUGAGGCCACACUGCCCAGAAGGGUCCUAAGGACUUCUCUAGAGAGAAACACCCCACAAGAGCAGUUACCACAGCGACAGUGACAACCCUGAAAACGUCCUAGUGCCUUCUCCGUGCCCAAGGAGACGGGAGGUCCCACAUUUGUUAGCUCCUUUGCCCUCAUCCUGAAAGGUAGGUGCUCUAUGGUUCUUCUUCCCAUUUUCCCCUGGAGCAACCUGGAGCAAAGGCAUGUUGCUAACCCUAAAACUCAGUCCUGCCCCUAAGAAACCAGGGACUGGCAGGUCACCGGCACCUCAACCGUUCAGUGAGGAAGUCAGCUCACACCGUCCUCCAAACGGAAGCCAGCGCCAGGCAAGUCCUGUCCACGUGGCUAUAGCCCUCCGUCACCUUCUUUGUGACUUCUCACUUCUUACAUGAGACUUGGUGACCAGAGGUCUCAGUCACGGAAGAAAGUUUCCAAAUUGGAGAUGACAGAAGCAAACAAGCAGGGGAGGAGAAAGAAACUCAGGAGAAAGAGGAAAGGCAGGGAAAGGACUCUAAAAUUCAGAGGAAAGUGCUAGAGAAGGCACUUAGCAAAAUGAAGAAAUAGAAGAGGAAGACCAGGAUCCAUGAGGCCGAGCAUCCAACUGUGGAGAGUCACGCUGGCCAAAGGAAGUCCCAAGGUGGCCAUUGCAUAUCAAACUGAGAAAGCAAUGUAUUCUGAUGGAAAGAGAGGAGCUAGUGGUGCAGAAGGCAGCAUUUCCAAUAACCCAAAAAUAAAACUGACUGCCUGUGACUGUGGCUGAGUAUGUGGAGAGCACUUGAGAAUCGUACAACAGAAGGGGGUAUACUAAAAAAUAUAACAGUUGGCACACUGUCUGGCUUACGAAAACAAACAAGAAAAAGUCAAGGUGAUUAUUAACUCCAGGCAAAACAAAAUCUGGUAGGACAAAGUCUAAUACAUGAAUGCUACCUGUCCUAGCAGGGACCAGUAUUGACAUAGUCUUAAUUCUAUAAGCAUUGUUUAUUGGUUUAGCCAAGAAUUGUAUACAGAUAUCACCAAGGAUUAUCAACAGAGAAGCAGCUCUUGUGUGUUGUGCUGCUGUGAGGGGCUACUCUACCAGGCAGAGUACACAGGUCUCUCGUUCAGCUCUUCCACCGAACUCCAGCUGGGACCUUUCUGGGCCUGAGAGUCUCCUUCUGUAACAUGUAUAUUCUCUCAUGAAAUUGCUGUAUUAAGUGAAAUAAUAUAUACAGAGUUCCAUAUACAUGAGGACAGACACCAAAUAUAUUCAUUCUCACUGUUUUCUUCCCCAUGCACCCAGACAACUAUUUUCAAGAAAAAGAGGUAAAGUAGCCUACACCAGGUGCUUCUCUAAGCACUGCCACAGCUGCCUUAUCCAGCCCGUCCCCGGGCAUCUGUGCAGACCAGGGGCCGACCAUGCAGGGACUCCCCAGUCCUCGGGGCACGUUCCACUAUAGCUGGCUCUGCUCUGCCAGGGUGUUUGUUCUAUCUGGAGCUCCCUCCUUAACCAUUAUAUUCAUUUGUUAAAAAUUCCAAUCUUCUAUUAUACUCCCAAGGCUUCUAAUUGGAAUUAUUUAUUCCAUUAGUGUUUGGCACAUUCUUCUUCGCAUUAUGGUCUGUUUAUGGAUCCAUGCCCUCCCUCAAAAGAUGGUAUGGUCAAGGAUCUUGCUUCUAUUCAGUCUAAUCAAUACGUAUUUGUUAAGCAACUGUUGUAGGCCAAGUACAUGCAUGCUAAGAACAGAGGAUUUAGGAUGAUUUACACUCCUGUUCAUUCACAAAUGAACUUUCAAUGUUCCAGGAGUUCUAACAGGCAAUGGGCAUCCAUAUGACCAUGUCAUAGCCUCCUCCCUUGCUCUGUUUAUAGUGUGGAGAGAAGGUGCAGACACCCAAAAGGGAAUCAUAAAGGUAAGUAAAGUCUAGACUAGGUGAGGCAUCUUGAUCCAUGGGAUCACAAAGACCAGACAGCUACCCAGGCAUGAGAAUUGUGAGAAGGUUUCUGAUUGAAAGGGGCUUCUAAGUUUAAAAAAAAAAAAAAAAAAAAAAGUAGCAAUUCACUAGGGGAUUGGA